rnacentral:rRNA from 1 species
UACAGAGGGUGCGAGCGUUGUCCGGAAUCACUGGGCGUAAAGGGCGCGUAGGUGGCGACCCAAGUCGAUGGUGAAAGCUCGCCGCUCAACGGCGAGUCGGCCACCGAUACUGGGUUGCUGGAGCACUGUAGAGGCAGAUGGAAUUCCGGGUGUAGCGGUGGAAUGCGUAGAGAUCCGGAAGAACACCGGUGGCGAAGGCGGUCUGCUGGGCAGUUGCUGACACUGAGGCGCGACAGCGUGGGGAGCAAACAGGG